UUACCUACGGGAGGCAGCAGUGAGGAAUAUUGGUCAAUGGGCGGAAGCCUGAACCAGCCAAGUCGCGUGAGGGAAUAAGGCCCUACGGGUCGUAAACCUCUUUUGCCGGGGAGCAAGGGCCGGGAUGAGUCCCGGUCCGGAGAGUACCCGGAGAAAAAGCAUCGGCUAACUCCGUGCCAGCAGCCGCGGUAAUACGGAGGAUGCGAGCGUUAUCCGGAUUUAUUGGGUUUAAAGUGUGCGUAGGCGGGCUUUUAAGUCCGCGGUAAUAACUCGGGGCUCACCCCCGUCCGCCCGUUGA
rnacentral:rRNA from 1 species